CCUACGGGCGGCAGCAGUGAGGAAUAUUGGUCAAUGGACGAGAGUCUGAACCAGCCAAGUAGCGUGAAGGAUGACUGCCCUAUGGGUUGUAAACUUCUUUUAUAUGGGAAUAAAAUGUUCCACGUGUGGGAUUUUGUAUGUACCAUAUGAAUAAGGAUCGGCUAACUCCGUGCCAGCAGCCGCGGUAAUACGGCGGAUCCGAGCGUUAUCCGGAUUUAUUGGGUUUAAAGGGAGCGUAGGUGGAUUGUUAAGUCAGUUGUGAAAGUUUGCGGCUCAACCGUAAAAUUGCAGUUGAAACUGGCAGUCUUGAGUACAGUAGAGGUGGGCGGAAUUCGUGGUGUAGCGGUGAAAUGCUUAGAUAGCACGAAGAACUCCGAUUGCGAAGGCAGUUCACUGGACUGCAACUGACACUGAGGCUCGAAAGUGUGGGUAUCAAACAGGAUUAGAUACCCUUGUAGUC
rnacentral:rRNA from 1 species